GUUACAUAGGGCCAUGGGUCUGGAUUUCCAAGAAAGUGGAGACCUCGAGGUGCAGGACUGUCGGGGCGAGGUGGCCGAGGCAGGUCAAAGCUGAAAAGUGGAAUCGGAGCUCUUGUAUUGCCUGGGGUGUCUACUGCAGAUAUUUCAUCAAAUAAGGAUGAUGAAGAAAACUCUAUGCACACUACGGUUGUGUUGUUUUCUAGCAGUGACAAAUUCACUUUGAAUCAGGAUAUGUGUGUAGUUUGUGGCAGUUUUGGCCAAGGAGCAGAAGGAAGAUUACUUGCCUGUUCUCAGUGUGGUCAGUGUUACCAUCCACACUGUGUCAGUAUUAAGGUAAACAUCCUUAAAUUGAGUUAACAAAUACGUAUUGAAUUUUUAUUUGGUUUUAGUAGUAAUAUGAGCUCCUAGUUCUCACAAUUAAGUAUUAUGAUUAUUAAACAUAUGUGACAGUAUUUAAGCACUUUAAAUACUGCUUUUAAGGGUUUCCUAUCUCAAGAAAUUUGCUCCUCUAUAAAUCUUAUAUUGUACUAAUAUCCUGCUUUUGUCUUGAAAAAGUAAAACAUAAAAAUAUAUGCAUUUAAUUUAAAAGACAAUUUAUACUAUUCACAAAGAUUUUAGGUUUAGGUGAUUCAUUUUGUCUGUUGAUUUAAAAAGCUGAGAACUGGAGUAUUUAGUAAAAAAUUAUUGGCCCAUUCUAUUCUUUCCCGCAUUCUCUCUCCUCUGUGCUCACUCAUAUACAAAAUGAGAUUUUCUCCUUAUAGCCAAAAGAAACAAAACAAGUGUCAUAUUUAAUGCAAUUGGUAAUAAUCGAGAGUCAGCACUGCUCACUUUCAAGCAUUUCAGUAUAGAGGCUUUCUGGGGAACGUUUUAAGUGGUAUUGUGUGCUUGGUUUUAAAUAUGGACAGGUCUCAAUACUUCACUAGUUGUAUCUAAGGUUCUUGGUUUUUUCUUUUUAAGAACUCAGUCUUAAUAAAACUUACAUAUUUGAAUAAAGUGUCAUGGCCACUGAAAGCAAGCAUGGAGGUAUAGCUGUACAGCAGAGGUCUUAAACUGUAUACUCCAUGGACCUGACUGUGGCCUGGGGGUUGGGGACCCCUGCUAUAGAGGAUUCAGAUUUAAAUUCAGAAGUUAGAAUGAAAAAGAAUUAUAUUCUUUAUCUAAAUGAUUUCACAGUUAACUGAGAGAAAGUCAGUAUAAGUUGAAAAGUUUAUCAGUGUUAAUAAGAAUGAAAAAUAUGUACAAUAUGCAAUUACUAUUAAAUAUAAUUUGCCCAUA